UUUUGCCCUCAGCCUGCCUCAUGCUCCCUUAUCAAUUAUGAUGGCUUUUGUAAAAAAAAAAAAAAAAAAAAAAAAAAAGAAAAGAAAGAAAAAGAAAAAAGGAAAGUUUUAGUUUUUAUAUAUAUUUUUGCUUUUUACACAUUUGGUGGUUUUGCUCUCUGUAGUUUCAGUCACCUGUGGUCAAUCAUGGUCCAGAAACAGAUGAUCCUCUUUCUGGUGAAUGGUGAGAAAGUGUGUAAUAGCCUAACAUUACAUCACAGCGUCUGCAUUUUUCACGUCCUUUCAUUUUAUCAUCUCACAUCAUCACGAGAAGGAUGAGGUACAGCGUAAUAUGAGAUAUUGAGAGAGACCACAUUCACAUAACUUUUAUUGCAGUAUGUUGUUAUAAUUAUUCUAUUUUAUUAUUAGGCGGUGGUGUUCAUCUCUUACUGGCCUAAUUUAUAAAUUAUCCAAGGUAUGUAUGGGAUAAAAUGUGAUAUACAUAGGGUUCGGUGCUAUCUGAGGUUUGAGACAUCAACUAGGAAUCUUAGCAUGUUCCCCUGUGGACAAAGACAGCCACCUGUAAUUCUCCUUUGUGAAGUGUUUAUUCAACUUUUUGCCAUUUAUUUUCCUAUGUGAAUUACCCUGGCUUUCUUUCAUUGCAUUAUAGAACGUCCUUACGCAUAAUCUGCAUAUGAAUCACCUGUCAGAGAUAUGGAUGGCAAGCAUCUUUCCCAUGUUAUGACUUGCCUUUUUACUUCUUAUGACUUGCCAAUGAUGUCUUUCAAUGAAAAGAAACUCUAAAUUUUAACGCAGCGCAAUUUAUUGCUUUUCUACUUGUUUUAGGAUGGAGACGUGGGUCAGAAUAGCUUCACAGCUAUUGUUCUUGCAAAGCGAUUAACGAACACGGCUUUGCAUUUUGAAUGCUUUGUAUUCUCCUUUUUAACACUGGUGUCUAAACCUUCUGCCCUUUUCUCCAUGUUGCAUUCGAUUUCAUUUCCAGUCAUAGCAGUUUUUAACUUAUGGGGGGGCUGGGGGGAACUUUGUCCUAAAAGGAAGCUUCGGUCUAUUGGUUUUGAGAUUUGAGUGUUCAUAGUACCAAGAUGGCUCCAGCUCGCUCAGACCUUACUAGGCACUCACCUAAAAAUUGAAAUGUGCAAAAGUCCUUGCUAGUCUCAAGGACUGCCAUACCUCUGAGUACUUUUUGGAAAUCUGAGUUGAGUUGUUUGGUUCGUUAGGUUUUUUUGUUCUUUUUUUUUUUUUUUUUUAAUCUCAGAUCCAUCCGAUGCCCCGUGCCUCCUUUGCUGAUAUCAUGUAGGUCUUGAAACUGUCAAGUUUGUCCUCACCCGUUUAUAUUUUGAAGUUCAUGGGGAUGUCAUGUUACCUACUUUGGGUGACUUAUGUUAUAGAUAGGAUUUGGUUAUGCUUGCCUUCAUGAAAUGAUUUGGAAAGAUUAUAUAUGUGUAUAAUAUAUAUAGUCUUCAUCAUCUUCCUUGAAUUUCUCUCACUACAGUUAUUAUCCUCAUCGUGCAGAGGGGGAGCCAAGCCCUUAGAGAAUCUUGGUCAAAGCCAAAUAAUGGAAACAUGUGGAUUAAGAAUCAAGCCUAUCUCUACGAACUCUAAGGUCUGUGGAUCCAUUGUUGAUUCGUUUUAUUUUGGACCAAAGAACUCCAUUGGCCAUUCUAGGCAAGAGCUGCAGUUUUCUCUGCUCAAGGACAAGUAGGUCCUCCUCAGGAUAAGUCUGCCUUUGGAAGAAGAUCUCUGUCUGGGAAGAUUGUGCCCACCGGCAGCACAGGCUUCUGUUCGGGCCGUAAGCUCCUUGAAGGCCGGGCCAUGUCUGUUCUGUCUCGAUCUCCCACAAGCAAAAUGCACACAGUAGGUCUUCAAGUAUCUACUGAAUGAAUGGUGAACAUCUGGUUGGUCAUGUUAUUCCCUAUCCUUCUUCAUUUUAAACAGUUCCAGGCUAUCUGUCCCAGCUUCUUCUUCUACCUAAACGUUCAGAAGAUUUUUUUUUCCAUGCUCGAAAAUAUCCUACUGCGAUUUCAUUAUAUUCGUAAACUAUUUGUGGAUGAUUUACAAUCUUUGUGAUACUAAUCUGUCAAUAUGUGAACAUGACAUAAUAUUUUACAGCUUUAACAUUUUUUUUUUACUGUUUAUUUACUUUUGAGAGACAGAGAGAGACAGAGCACGAGUGGGGGAGGGACAGAGAGAGAGGGAGACACAGAAUCCGAAGCAGGCUCCAGGCUGAGCUGUCAGCACAGAGCCCAGUGUGGGGCUCGAACCCAUGAACUAUGAAAUAAUGAGCUGAGCCAAGGUUGGAUGCUUAACCGAUUGAGCCACCCAGGUGCCCCUAUAGUAUUGUUUUUUACCUCAUACGAAUUCUACUCAGUUCCUAUGAGGAUUAUUUACACUUUAUUUUAUAUUUUUGGUUGCAACUGGGUGCAAUAUUUUUGGAAAGGAGGGAUCCUUUUCUUAUUCUGUUUUCAAAGUAGAUACAUUUUUAAUACAGGAUCUUGCUGGUAUUUUCUAUGUUUUUAAAAUGUAUUUAAAUCAAGCGUUUGCGCUAAUUAAUAGAUCUUACUAACUUUUCUAGGUAGGCAGUCAUGUAAUCUAUGGACAACUUAUUCUUUUAAUUUUUUUAAAUAUUUAUUUCUUUUUGGGAGAGAGACAGAGACAGAGAGUGAGCAGGGGCAGAAAGAGAAGGAGACACAGAAUCCGAAGCAGGCCCCAGGCCCUGAGCUGUCAGCACAGAGCCCCACGUGGGGCCCGAACUCACAAACCACAAGACCAUGACCUGAGGGGAAGUCGGACACCUAACUGACUGAGCCACCCAGGCGCCCCCGGGGCAACUUAUUCUUUAUCCCUUUCAUUAUUAGAACUAUUAUUGCAUUUUCAUAUUUUAUCUCAUCAGUUAUCAUUUACACAAGAAUUUUAAAUAAUAAUAAUCAAAUGAGAUAAUUUCAUCAUGUUUGUCGUCCCAAAGAGAAUUUAUUUGUUCACCAUUAAGCAUGAUGCAGUUGCUACUGUGGCAUAGAUCCAUUUUCAUGUUAAAAAGCAAUGUUUAGAGGCGCCUGGGUGGCUCAGUCAGUUAAGCAUCGGAUUCUUUAUUUCAGCUUAGGCCCCACAACCGGGUGGAACCUGCUUGGGAUUCUCUGUGUCUCUCGCUCUCUGUCCCUCUGCACCUCCCCCCUUCUCUCUCUCUCAAAAUAAAUAAAUAAACAUUGAAAAAGCAAUUGGUAUCCCUUUUACAAAGAAAUUUUGUAUGAAAAACGGUAUUCAAUUUUAUUAAAGGUGCUUGAAUCCUCAAUACAAGAAUUAGAAAGAACAUGAUUUGGGGGCCACAAUCUUGAGCGUUCCAAUCUGAGCAACUUCAUGGACACCUUUUCUCUGACGACGAUGUCGGGAUCCACACAAAACACCACUGGCUAUUAGCUUCGCUGACUUUUCCUGGCCUGCAAACCAAGUUCACUGGUUCAUCGGACGUUUUGCUGCAUGCUGGUCUCUUCAUUAUGUUUUCCUCUGAUUUGGCUACAAUUUAAGAAAGGGUCACACCUCAAAUGUUCAUUUUGCAAAUAAGGUGGCUGAAGGAAAAAAAAAAGUGAUGUUAAGUCUCACAUUUUGGAGAUACUUGGGCUUCUUCACUCUGAGAUAGAAAUGUAUCUUCCAAUUUGCUCGGCCCUCUAAGCUCCUGCAAAAUUAAAUGUGAACGUUUCCAUGAAAAGUAAGUUAUUAUUAUUAUUUUUUUUGCUGGCUUUGUGUUCCUCUUUGUUAAUCUGCUCAUGUGGCCAAAAAUUACACAGAAAAUUAUUGCGAGAGCUACAGCUCUUGGAGCAUUUUUGUCCCAGGGAAUGGAUUCCCUUUUCUUCCUUAUUACGAAGAGUAUUGAGUGUGUGUGUGUGUGUGUGUGUGUGUGUGUGUGUGUGAGUGUGUGCGUGUCUGUAGAUGCAUUUUGAAGCAAAAACUAAAUCAUAGGAGUCAUCCCACAAAGGCCAUCCUGCCACCGCCCACAGUUCAUUGGCCCAUCUCUCUCUCCUCCCCCCACCCCACCUCAUCUCCACCUCCCAACCCUGCAAGUAACUGGCAGUGCUCUCCUCCUCCUCCCUGGGCCUCUGUUAUCCCAGCGGCCGCCGCAAACUCAUUCCUCACUUUCACCAAACUGAUUUCUGUUUGCGGAGCAGCUGGCGGGAGCUUUCCGAGGCCAGGAGCUGCCUGAGAAGCAAGCCUGCUUCCUUCCACGGUCAGGGGGCUUUUAGAAAUAACACCCUCCUUGGAGGAAGUCAGAACAGCAACAGGAAAAUAAGUAAAACCUAUUAUAAAACAGUUGUCCCAGAACUUGGGCACGGCGCUGGGUGGAGAUCGAUAUACUUGUGAAGGUUAAAUCUAUUUUCACACUGUGUUCUAUUUCACAGUUUAAUGGUGUUUUAAUGUGUCUGUCACCGAGCCCCUUCAUGUUAUGCAGGUAGGGCCUUUACAAAGGAGAAAGAACCCGGCUUUUCAAGCUUCGCUGUAACAUCUUAUUUACCAGCUGCGAUCUGACAUUUUCUUUUCCCUUCCAGAGCGACGGCGGGUCUGGCUCUCCCUCUCAACCCCUCUGGCUCUCCUUCCAAUCCUCAUUUGUACUCCUAAUUUUGCGAGGAGGCAAAGUUGAGACCCUGAGCGAGAUUCUUAGGUAUCUCUCUGAAAAGCUCUCCAGCAUAGUUAGCCGUAUUUAAGAAGAAGGUAACUAAGACCUUUCUGAUUCGUCCUCCCCGUGUCCUCAGUUGGCCUCCUACAUUGUGUGGGGGAUCCCAGCUGGUUCUGGCCAAGCUCACUGCCCUCCCUCUCCUGCUGGGGUUUCCUGCUCAACCCCCAACUUUGUCUCUCUCUCUCCACCUUACACGUCAGUGAGCACGUGGUCAGGGGUCUCGCUUUGCUUCCCCACCCUCAUGAGAGAAAUCCUGACUAUCCUUGCCUCCGAAGAGAUCUUUCCUUCUACCUUGACACAAGUCAGCCAUGGGAACUGUGUUAGUUUUUCCCAGGGCUGUUGUAACUUGGUGGCGUAAAGGUAACAGAAAUGUGUCCCCUCGCAGAUGUGGAGGCUGGAAGUCUGAAACCGAGAGCAGGCAGGGCCAUGGUCUCUCUGAAGUCUCUACGGGAGACUUUCAAUUAACUUCUAGUGUUACGGGAAAUCCUUGGCUCUCCUUGGUUUGUGGACACCUCCCUCCCACCUCUGUCUUUCUCAUUAUAUAGUGUUCUCCCAAUGCAUUCUCUUCUUAUGAGGAUACCACUCAUAUUGCAUGAAGGGCCAGCCUACUCUACCAUGACCCCAUCUUAACUAAUUGCAUCUGCGAUGGUCUUAUUUCCAAAACAUGGUCACAGGCUGAGGUCCUAGGAAGGAUGUGAACUUGGGGAAAUGCUAUAUGUGAUAGUUAAUUUUAUGCGUCAACUUGACUGGGCCACGGUGCCCACCUUUCUGGUCAAAGAGCGUUCUGAAUGUUCCUGCAAGAGUGUUUUUGAUGAGAUUACCAGUUAAAUCUGUGGACUUUGAGUAAAACCGAUUGCCAUCCAUAAUGUGGGUAGGCCACAUCUAAUCAGUUGAAGGCCCAAAUGGAACAAAGUCCUGCUCUCUUCCAGGCAAGAGCAAAUCCUGCUAGCUAACUGGCUUCAGACUUAAACUGCAUGAUUAGCUCUUCCUGAGUCUCCAGCCUUCAAAUCACCCUGCAGAUUUGGGACUUGACAACCUCCAUAACUGCAUGAGCCAAUUCCUUAAAUCUUUUUCCCUAUUUACACACACACACACACACACACACACACACUGGCACACUGGUUCUGUUUCUCUGGAGAACCCUGGCUAAUAUAUUAUCUAACCCAGUACAGCCCUGUAGAUAAAGUAUAUAGAAAGUGUCCUGUGGGAAAACACAUAUUAUUUAAUUAUGCUCGAUAAGGAAGAAACAGAAUUUAGGCACUCAGAUUUCUGGGUUAGAGUCAUGGAACCAGCAUGACAUCUCCCUGUUUGUCAUGAAUUCCAAAUGGCUGGGUUUUCAGUGGAAUUCAAAUUAUAGGGAGGGGAGGGCACCUUGACUAGGUAUAGCUUAUAGCAGAAAUUUCCAAAGGAUGGUCCUUGGAGAUAUCUGAGACUGUUGCAGAGGAUCCACAGAAUUAAAACUAUUGUCAUAAUGAUAGUUUUUUUUUUGCUUAUUUUAAUUGAAAUUGACCUUUAAUUUUUUUUUUUUUAAUAUUUAUUUACUUGUGAGAGAGAGAGACAGAACAUGAGCAGGGGAGUGGCAGAGAGAGGGAGACACAGAUCUAAAGCAAGCUCCAGGCUCUGAGGUGUCAGCAUAGAACCCGAUGCAGGACUUGAACUCUCGAACUGCAAGAUCAUGACCUGAGCCGAAGUUGGACGCUUAACCAACUGAGCCACCUAGGCGCCCCUUGAAUUGACCUUUAAACUGAUGAAACCGAUGUGUAAUGUGUCUGAGCAUGAGUCAAUGUAUUCCCCUCUGCCCCCAGACAUUGUUUCUUUACUAAAGUGGACUUUCAAGGCAAUAAAAGCCAGUUUUAUUUGAGAAUGCCAUUAGGAGAGCAAUGAAAAUUAAUAAUUGCGUUAAUUCUGACAUUUUUUGUUGUGGCAAAAUCAGAAGUUCACCCGAAGCAGUUUUGUGUCUUAUCAGGUAUGAUGGUUACCUGGAGGAAAAGGCCUUGUGUGAUUGAGUUGCUAGCUGAACUAGCCACUUUUUUCAUGGAACAGUAUUUUUACUUGACAGAACAAUUAACAAAGUGUACUUACUCAGACUUAGGCACUUGGCAAACAUUUUCUUGGAAGUGAGUGACGUGAGUCUGUCACUUAAAGGUAAAUGAGAGUAUUUGUUACAAAUGAUGAAAGGCAGACUUUCAAAAGAAAAUUAGAAUUUUAAGGGUGCCUGGGUGGCUCAGUCAGUUAAGCCUUCAGUUCAGGCCAUGAUCUUUCAGUCUGUGAGUUCGAGCCCCACGUCAGGCUCUGUGCUGACAGCUCAGAACCUGGAGCCUGCUUCCCAUUCUGUGUCUCCCUCUCUCUCUGCCCCUCCCCUGCUCACCCUAUGUCUCCCUCUUCCUCUCUCAAAAAUAAACAAACAUUUAAAAACAUUAAAAAAAAAGAAAAUUAGAAUUUUAGAGAACUUGUGUCUGCCAUUAUGAGCUUAACAGCUCUCUUAUGAGGCUCACAGUGAUGUUGAUUGUUGAUGAACAUGAUUAUUACUGUAUCAUGAAACAUAUCAAGGUUUAGAAUGUUUGCCUAACACAGUGAACUAUUGUUUUCCAAAUGACAAAGGCAAGAUAUUACAAAAAUCACAUGUGAGUAAUAGAUCCAUUCAAACAAAAAGACGAACUAAUGUAUGUUAAUGUUCAUUCAUGUAAUUUCAGAUUCCACAUUGCAACUCACCUUUAAAAAUUAUUACUUGUCAAGUUUUGGUGUAAUAUGAUAAAAGAAUACCUAUAAUUAUCAAACAGGCUAUUACAAUACUCUUUCCUUUUCUAACCCAGACAGAUGGUAAGACCAAACAUUCAUCAUAUUCUUGAACCAAAACAAUAUAUUUUAAUAGGCUGAAUACAGAUGGAGGUGGAAGCCCCAGUCUUCUAUUAAACCAGACAUUAAAGAGUUUAGCAAAAAAUGUAAAACAGUGCUACACUCCUCACUAAUUAUUUGAAAAUACAAAUAUGCUAUUUAUUUUAACAUGUAGUAGAUUUGUUAUUAUUUUAGGUGGAGACAUAACUACUCAUAAAAAUUCCCAAUUUUAAUUUCCAAUACAGCAAAUAUUGAUAUAACCCAUAUAAACAAAAGCUCUUUGGAAUCCCCCCCUCAAAUUUUAGGGUGCCUGGGUGGCUUAGUUGGUUAAGAGUCCAACUCGUGACUUCAGCUCAUGUCAUGAUCUCAUGGUUCAUGGGUUCCAGCCACACCAGGGCUCCAUGCUAAUAGUGCAGAGCUUGCUUGGGAUUGGUAAGGCCUUUCAAAUAAUUGAAUCAGGCCCACCAAGAUUAUCUAUUACAGCUCGAAGACAGAUUUUCUAGGAUUAUCUCCUUUGCUUCAAGUGAACAGAUUAUGGGAUUUAAUGACAUUGACAAAAUAACUUCAUUGCAACACAGAUUUUAGUGUAAACAAAUAAAUGAAAGCUAUUGUCUAAUCAAAUUGACACAUAGAAAAAGACCAUCACAGUCCACCCCUUAUCAACCUGGCAUCCAUACACAUCUCUUUAAACCAUACUUAAAAUCCAAACAUUCAUUCCUGAAGGGUUUGAGCUAUUUGCAAUCCUACCUCACUGGGUUGUGGUAGUUUUCCACUGACUUCAAUCAUAGAAUGUGGUAGUAAUAAGAGAUAACCCUAAGGGAUCUCCCUUAUUCCAGACAUAUUCUUACAUCCAUUUUGUAACUCAUUUACACUUUUAAUCAGGAACAAUCCUGCUAGCCAGUACAGUAGCCUCCUUAUUUGUCUAUUGAUCGAGACCCUUGAAUUGCCCAGUGGCUGGGUGACAUCUUGAUUAUACUGGACUGCUUAUAUCAUAGAUGGAACAGCACUAUGUUCUUAUUGGCAAUAGAUAAUUAACUCUACAUAUAGAUCUGUCUUUCCUGUGUGCCUUACUCUUGCCAAACUACCAUCUGUGGGCUUACAGAAUACGUAUUGUCCUUUGUUUUACUUGGCAUCCUUACUCUUGGGAUUAAGACCCAAGCAAUGGUCACUCACUGAGACAGCAAAGACUUGGAGAGGAAUACUUCGCAAUCAGUUGUUGGACAAAUGAGUUGCAUGUUACUUGGAUAGGUCAAAAGAUGUGCAGAUAAUCAAUAUAUAGAAUGUUUGAAUCAUGGGACUAGAUGACAGAGAGAGAAAGAGAAAAGUAAUAGAGCGCUCCCCCCACCCCUUCCCCACAACCCUUGAAGGGAGAUAUAUAACAGAGAGAAAAGAAACAACCAGAAAGAUUAAGAAGUAGUUACCACUGACCUGAGGGGCUAAAAAUAUGUAUCUUUCUGAAGACUAACUCACUUUAAGUAUUUUGAAUUUUGUAGUGUUUCACAAAGAGAAUCAUGCCUUCUGCUGGUCUGCCAUGCAAACAAAUGUGGGAAUCAUGGUAGAAAAUUUUGUGCUACAAACCAAAUAUUUAUUGAUCUCUGCUACAAAGAAAUGAAAGAGUAAUGAGGGCUGAGGAUAACUCAUUCAUUCAUUCAAUAAGAGGUUUUUCAGAAAAUAAUACAUAAGUGACAUUAAUUUAGGCAUGACGAAUACAAAAUUUAAUAAAAUUUGCUUCCUCACUAAAGGUAAUUAAGAAACGUUUUGGUGGAAAUAUAAGACCUGACUCAGCAUUUUAUUUCGAUAGGGAUCCAGGAGAAGACUGAGAAAUCGCAGAUUUGGAUUUAAACAUCUCAUCACAGGGUUUAACAAUGCUCAGUGAAUAUGAAUUUUGGAGAAUUAAGGGAAAAAAUGACCAGCUCAGUUAACUCCUGGGAUAUUUCGAAACAUUUCACUUCUCCUAGAAUUGAGACACUUUUUUUUUUUUUAUCACCAUUUUGCACUUUCCCAGGGAGGGUAUGAACCAGCUGCCUAUUGAGCAAAAAUAUUACCAUCCAAUUAAUAUUUUGGAAGCAGUGACAGACUAUCCUAACCUCCUGGCUCAGCAGUCUGUUCUGAGAGUCUGAUCAUACAGGAAGUGAGAUAAACGUGGGGCCAGUCAGUUCAUCAGGCCCUCACCACAAAAGAGCAGAGGCCACUUACUGAAGUCUGUGAAUCACAGAAGGCUGCAGCAGGGGAUUUUGCAUUUGAAUUAUGAAUAUUUAAAUAGGCUUAUUAAAACUGUGUCCACAGAGAGCAAAAAUGCAUUUGCUUUUAAAACAGUUAAAAAUAUAAGAGGUAGUGCAGAACAGUCUCUAACUCAUGGAAUUUGGAGUCAGAAGACACAGAGUGGAUCCCUGUCUCCAGCACCUCCCAGCUAUGUGGCAUGGGGAAAUGAAUUUGACCUCUAUAGGUUUUAUCCAACACUCCACUUCACUUAUUCUCCUUCAUUUGGUAACAACAACAACAACAACAACAAAAGGAGCAUGGUCUUUAGAGCCACUCUGUCUAGAUUUGAAUCCUGGCUCCAUGAUUUCAUAACUGUGCAUGUUACUUCAUCUCUCUGUGCCUCAGUUUACCUAUCCAUAAAUGGUAAUGAUGCCAGUAGCUAUGGCAAGGCCUUUUUGUAAGAUUACAUAAGUUAAUUCAUAUAAUAUGUUUAGAACAGUGUCAAGCACAUAACAAGCAAAAAACAAAUGUCAGCUCUGACAUGAAAUACUAUGUCAUUAGUGUAUGCUAGAGCCGUGCUUGGUGAUCAGACGAAUUAGUGAACAAGAUGGACAGUCUUUGCCCCCCGUAGAGACAAUUAGACACACAAUGACAAAAGAGGGGCUAUGAACAUUUAGUAUGGAGACUGCAAUGUUAAAGAAGCUCCUAAAUUAGUGUUAAGGGGUCAUGGAAUGCAUUCAAAGAGAAGUGAAGUUUAAGCUGAGGCAUAAUAGAUAGAUAGGAAUUAGCCGAGAACAAAAAGGGGAAGGAUAUUAGAGAGAAAGAAAAUAUGAAUAUGGGUGGGAAGGAUGGAGGAUGGACAGAGAGAGAGGGAAGGAAGGAAGGAAGGAAGGAAGAAAGGAGGAAAGGAAGGAAGGAAGGAGGAAAGGAAGGAAGGAAGGAAAGAAAGAGGAGAGAAAAACAAGAAAGAAAUGAGGAAGAAAGAGAAAGAAACAAGGGAAAAAGAAAGGAAGAAAGAAAAGAAAAGUCACAUGUCAAGUUGUAACAGGGAAAGGCUUAGAAUGAAGUUUGAAAGGCCAGGUCACAAUUCAUCUCGAAAAACGUAUUAAGGAGUUUGAACUUUAUUUUAUAGACAUCAGAGAGCUCAGGAAGGAAUGAUGAUAUUUCCAUUUUUUGAGUUUAUUUAUUUAUUUUGAGAGAGAAAGACAGAGAGAGAGAGAAUCGAUAGCAGGCUAUGUGCUGUCAGUGCAGAGCCUGAUGCAGGGCUCAAUCUCACAACCCUGGGCCUCAGCUGGAAUCAAGAGUUGGACGCUCAACCGACUAAGCCACCCAUGUGCCCCAAUAUUUCUGUUUUGGAAGUACUCUGGACUGACAGGGAUUAAUGGGAACCAUGACUUGGAGUGGUCAAGCAAAAGCAGAGAUACCACUAAGGUGGUUGUUACAGCAAACCAGGCAAGGGAUGAUAGUGUCUUGAGGCAUGAUAAUUCAAAGAUAUAUUUGAAUCAUUUUUAAGAAAGAGAAACACAAGUCUUUGGUGAUUGACUGGAUAUGGGGACUAAGAAAGGGAAUACUCAAGGCUGGCUCCAGACUGAUGGUUUGUGCAAGAGGUGCCUAGUGAUGACCUUCACUGGCAUGGGUGGGGGGACAUCAAAUGUAGGCUAGGUUUGGCUUGGAUGAAUGAGAAAAGAAAAUGUGUCUUAUUUGGGAUCUAUUGAUUAAGGAUACCAAGGGCAACAACCAACUAGAAUUCUCCAACGGGCAAGGGAAAGGUCUGGGCUGGAGACACAGGGGAUCUGUCCAUAUGGAGGUGGGUAAUACAGAGAAUGGGUAAUACAGAGAAUGAGAGAAGAAGAAGGCCUUCCUGGCGGGGAACCUGGAAGAUACCAUCCUCAAGGGUGGACCUAGGAAGAAAAUUCUGGAGAGAAACUGAAGUGUUAUUGCAGAGAAGUAAGAAAAGUGAGAACGUUAAAUGCCAUGUAGGCAUUUAGGCACUUUCAAGAGUUGAAAGUGUUCUUUAAAGUGGGAAGGAGGAGUAGUCAAAAAUGAAGAGGUCUGCAAAAAAAUCAGGUAGGAAGAGGGUUCUACAGCUUGGAGGCCAUUGACAACUCUGGGUAGGGCAGUAGUAGUGAGGUGAGGAGGUUUGUGUUGUUGUUAUUGCUGUUGUUAUCAUUAUUUUGCUAUUAACUUAUACGAGUUCUUUAUAUCUUUUGAAUAUUAGCUUCUUAUCAGACACGUGGUUUGAAAAUAUCUUUUUCCAUUUCAUAGGCUGUCUUUCCAUUUUGUUGGUGGUUUCUUUGGCUGUGCAGAAGUUUGAGUUUGUUGUAGUUCCAAAGGUCUAUUUAUUUAUUUUUUAAUUUUGUUUCUUGUGCUUUAGGUGUCACAUCCAAAAACCCAGCAUCAAGGCCCACAUCAAGUUGCUGUAUUCCUGUGUUUACUUCUGGGACCUCCAUGGCUCCGGGUCUUACGUUUAAAUCUAUCAUACAUGUUGAGUUAAUAUUUUGUGAGUGGUGUAGGUACAGUUUCACUCUUUUAAUUUUUCUUUUUAAAGUUUUAUUUAUUCUUGAGAGAGACAGUGAGACAGAGUGUGAGCAGGGGAGGGGCAGAGUGAGAGAGGGAUACAGAAUCGGAAGCAGGCUCCAGGCUCCAAGCUGUCAGCACAGAGCCUGACGCAGGGCUCGAACUCACGAGCCGUGAGUUCAUGACCUGAGCUGAAGUCACACGCUUAGCCGACUAAGCUACCCCGGCGCCCCCAGUUCGAUUCUUUUAAAUGUGAAUAAUCAAUUAUCAGAGCCCCAUUUAUUGCAAAGACACUCUUUUCUCCAUUAAGUGUUCUUGGCCCCCUUGCCAAAUACUAGUUGACUGUUUAUGCUUGGGUUUCUUUCUGGGCUCUCAGUCGUGUUCCAUCUCAAUUCUGUUUUACACCACCACAGUGGUUUUUGAUAACCUUAGCUUAAAAUCAGAAAGUGUGAUGCCUCCUGCUUCGUUCUUUCUCAGGAUUGCUUUGGCUAUUUAGAGUCCCUUGUGGUUUCCCGUAACUUUUAGGAAUGUUUUUUUCUACUUCUGUAAAAAAUGCCAUUGGAAUCUUGGUAGAGGUUGCAUUGAAUCUUUUGGUAAUAUUGACAUUGUCACAAUGUUAAUUCUUCCAAUCCAUGACCAUGUAAUACCUUUCCAUUUAUCUGUGUCUUCUUUGAUUUCUUCCAUCAGCAUCUUAUAAUUUUUAGGUUAGAGAUUUUUGCUCUCCUUAGUGAAAUUUUUUCCUAUGUAUUUUAUUGGGGUUUUGUUUUGUUUUGUUUUGUUUUGUUUUUAGGUAGGCUCCAGGCCCAGCAUGGAACCCAACAUGGGGCUUGAACUCACAAACUGGGAGAUCGUGACGUGAGCUGAAAUCAAAAGUCGGUUACUUAACCAACUGAGCCACCAGGCACCCCUCUUAGUUUUUGCCUUGUAUGUUGGAUACUCUAAUGUGAGACAUUAUCUAUGUCUCUUUUUAUAAUUUUUAGUUUAAAAUCUAUUUUGCUUCAUAUAAAUAUAGCUACCCCUGCAUAUUUUUGUUACCAUUUCCUUGAAAUGUUUUUUUCUCCCAUGUUUUCACUCUUAGUCUGUGUGUGCCUAUAAAACUAACGUGAGUCUCUUGUAGGGAGUUUAUUUUUGGAUCAUUAAAAAAAAAAACGAUUCAGCCAUUCUAUAUCUUUUAAUUGGAGAAUUUAAUCCAUUAUGUUUAAAAUAGUUAUGAAUAGGUAAAGACUUACUAUC